rnacentral:lncRNA from 1 species
GAUGGCCAAACUGAAGAUGGCAAAGCAGAAGAAGCAGCUGAGGGUGACAAAGAUGUCAAAAUGGCAGAUAAUUUUCAACACCCUGAAGAUGCUGGAGAGGCAUCGGUGGUGAAAGAGGCCCCUCUGGAGAAAGAACCUGAAGCUACUAAGGAUGAGGAAGGGAAGGAUGUACAACUUCCAGAAAGUGUGGAACAGAAACUUACUGAAACAAAGAAAGAGAGUGCUGCUGUUGAGAAAGAUGUCAAAAUGGCGGAUAAUGCUGCAGAGAAGAAAGAUGAAAUUCAUUCUUCUAAUGUUGAUGCUGUGAAGGAGAACCAAGCUGACAAGAAAAGUGAAGGCCAAACUGAAGAUGGCAAAGCAGAAGAUGCUCCUGCCGAAGCAGCUGAGGGUGACAAAGAUGUCAAAAUGGCAGAUAAUUUUCAACAUCCUGAAGAUGUUGAAGAGGCAUCGGUGG